GGAUGAUCUAUCCAUGGCCAGGAUGAAGGUGCCGUAACAGGUACUGGAGGUCCGAACCCACUAAUUUGAAAAAUUAGGGGAUGAGCUGUGGAUAGGGGUGAAAGGCUAAACAAAUCCGGAAAUAGCUGGUUCUCCCCGAAAACUAUUUAGGUAGUGCGUCUUGUAUCACUGACGGGGGUAAAGCACUGUUAUGGCUAGGGGGUCAUCGCGACUUACCAAACCAUGGCAAACUCUGAAUACCGUCAAGUGCGAGCAAGGCAGACAGACAGUGGGUGCUAACGUCCAUUGUCAAGAGGGAAACAACCCAGACCGCCAGCUAAGGUCCCCAAGACACAGUUAAGUGGGAAACGAGGUGGGAAGGCAUAGACAGCUAGGAGGUUGGCUUAGAAGCAGCCAUCCUUUAAAGAAAGCGUAAUAGCUCACUAGUCGAGUCGUCCUGCGCGGAAGAUGUAACGGGG
rnacentral:rRNA from 1 species